AUUGUAGCUCUUAGCACUCACUUACUAACCACGUGCUAAAUAAUCGAGAGGCAGACACAAAGUGGUGUGUGUGUGUGUGUUUCUAGAUCUAGCUCAGGGCUACACAAGAGCCAGUAACAACACACACCUGGGGUUCAUCUGUAUUUAUUUACUCUAGACAGUAUCUUGCUGUGUUGCCCAGGCUGACCUUCAACUUGGGAUCACAGACAUAUUCCAGCACACCAACAAAUCCCUACUGGAUAUGCGAAUGAGGAUUCACUAAUGUCCCAUUUCUAUUUUGUUCUGUGUCCUGUAUGUCUACAGUCUGCUGGGAUUGCCCACUCCCAGAAAGCAAGAGUGAGGAAUGUGGACUGGGGUGGGUGCUGGGGGAACGUGAGGAGGCCAGGGGCAGGGAGCAGAGUUUUCCCAUGGUGAGAAGAAGGCCCACAUAGAGAAUGAGGGAGGGAGAGAUGCCAAGAUCUGAGUUAGAGCAGAAGGAAGCUGAGCCCUGAAUGGGAGCCUUGUGUGUGGCCCUGCGGUGCUGACUCACCAGGCCGAGGAGAGCGAAAACAUGCUAGGGAUGAAGAAGGGGCCUGUGUGUGCCCUGCCACCACCUCCAAACCACCGUGCCACCCCAGAUCAGGGGCUUCCUGAGGACACCAUCUGCUCUGAGGUGCAGAGCUCAGUCCGCCCUUCUCAGAGUCACCCAGCUAGAAGAGGAUUCCUCCUCGGUCACAUGCAGCGAGCUCCUUUUUCAGGGCUGGUGACUAAGCGUACCAAGCGUGUGCCACCACCGAGCUACCACCACACGUGAGCUCCUUUUAAAUAUCCUGUGCCCUGGAACUGAACUAACUCUGUAGGACAACAGGCCUGGCUGCCCUUUCACCAGGUGGUAGAAAAAGAAAACACCCCAAACGCUUCUACAGCCAUUACUGAGACCUGAACCCAGGGCCUUGAACUUGUCAGGCAAGUGCUCUACCACUGAGCUAACUCCCAGCCCCAGAGACUCUAAAGAGGCAACUAAGUUCAAAUGAGGUCACCACACAACGUGCACAGAGUGAGAGACUUUGGAGUUCCCAGUCCUAAAUGAGAUGUCUAUCAAACCUCUCCCUGCAAGGCUCAGGGAUCUCUGUGAAAGAGGAGUUGGAAAGACUGUAAGAGCCGGAGGUGGGGAAUGAUUCCAAAGAAGCAGAGUCAUCCAGACCCAACAGGACCGAUAAAGAAGUAAUGAAAGACUAUGAGAGCACCCUCAAGACCUGCGCAGGUUCAAAGAGGACAGACUUUCAGCAUGGAGAAAGGGAAGUGGACACAGGGUCCCAUUCCUAACCUGUUGAGCUGUCUGCCACUGAUACCUGAUGGGGAAAAAGUGUAUCAGUUUUCUCUAAUGGAGUGUCACUGGCUAUAAUAGCCAUACUCCAGGGCAAGUCCAGGAGUAGUUGGCCAAUACAAAAUGGACUUCAUGGGUUUUUUUUGUGUGUGUGUAUGCUUUAUUUUUGUUUUGAUUUUCAGAGUUUUGUUUUGUUUAGAAAGGAGAAUGAACAUGAAGUUGCAUGGAAGGGAGGUGGGGAGGCUCUGGGAAUUAGGGGAGGGGAAACAAUAAGAUCAAAAUAUAUUGUAUGAAAAAAAACUUAAUAAAAAAAGGUCAAUACAGAACCAGGUAGUGGUGGCGCACGCCUUUAAUCCCAGCACUCGGGAGGCAGAGGCAGGCGGAUGUCUGAGUUUGAGGCCAGC